rnacentral:rRNA from 1 species
UACGGGGGGAGCUAGUGUUGUUCGGAUUUACUGGGCGUAAAGGGCGCGUAGGUGGUUAUAUAAGUUAGAAGUGAAAUCCCAAAGCUUAACUUUGGAACUGCUUCUAAAACUAUAUUGACUAGAGUAUGGCAGAGGGCAAUAGAAUUCCUAGUGUAGAGGUGAAAUUCUUAGAUAUUAGGAGGAAUACCGAUUGCGAAGGCAAUUGCCUGGACCAGUACUGACACUAAGGCGCGAAGGCGUGGGGAGCAAACAGG